GCUGGGGUGGCUCAGUUGGGUAAGCGUCUGACUUUAACUCAGGUCAUGAUCUCAUGGUUUGUGGGUUCGAGCCCCACAUCAGGCU
rnacentral:tRNA from 1 species